rfam:Schistosoma mansoni strain Puerto Rico chromosome 2, complete genome
AUCAAGCUGACGAGUCUCAAAUAGGACGAAACGCGCGUCCUGGAU